UACGGGGGGAGCAAGCGUUGUUCGGAUUUACUGGGCGUAAAGGGCGCGUAGGCGGCGCAACAAGUCACUUGUGAAAUCUCCGGGCUUAACCCGGAGCGGCCAAGUGAUACUGUCGUGCUAGAGUGCGGAAGGGGCUACUGGAAUUCUCGGUGUAGCGGUGAAAUGCGUAGAUAUCGGUAGGAACACCAGUGGCGAAGGCGGUUUCCUGGAGCCCACUUGACGCUGAGACGCGAAAGCUGGGGGAGCAAACGGG
rnacentral:rRNA from 1 species